ensembl:lncRNA
AAUAUAGUUAAAGUAUACAUCAAUAUAUUUUAUAACUUUUUUCUGACAUUUAUUGAUCAAAAUACAGUCUUUGUAAAUGGAUUUCCAAAAGUAGAAAUGGUUACAAAUAAUAACAUUUUACUAAAACUCUCCUGUCUCUGUGUCAGUUUAAUGGUGUCAUCAUUUCAGUUUGGGUCUGUUGUGUUGAGGGUUUGGUAGGUGGAGUCUUGGGUUGUUGAGUUGAGGGUUUGGUAGGUGGAGUCUUGGGUUGUUGUAUUGAGGGUUUGGUAGGUGGAGUCUUGGGUUGAUGUGUUGAGGGUUUGGCAGGUGGAGUCUUGGGUUGUUGUGUUGAGGGUUUGGUAGGUGGAGUCUUGGGUUGUUUUGUAGGUGGAGUCUUGGGUUGUUGUAUUGAGGGUUUGGUAGGUGGAGUCUUGGGUUGUUGUGUUGAGGGUUUGGUAGGUGGAGUCUUGGGUUGUUGUGUUGAGGGUUUGGUAGGUGGAGUCUUGGGUUGUUGUGUUGAGGGUUUGGCAGGUGGAGUCUUGGGUUGAUGUGUUGAGGGUUUUGUAGGUGGAGUCUUGGGUUGUUGUGUUGAGGGUUUGGUAGGUGGAGUCUUGGGUUGUUGUGUUGAGGGUUUGGUAGGUGGAGUCUUGGGUUGUUGUGUUGAGGGUUUGGUAGGUGGAGUCUUGGGUUGCUGUGUUGAGGGUUUGGUAGGUGGAGUCUUGGGUUGCUAUGUUGAGGGUUUGGUAGGUGGAGUCUUGGGUUGCUAUGUUGAGGGUUUGGUAGGAGGAGUCUUGGGUUGUUGUGUCUGGAUUGGUGACUGGCCCUGUGGAACACAACAUAUAAAUCAUGUGUGUGUACGUGCAGUGGUGUGGUAGUGGUGUAGUAGUGUAGUGGUGUAGUAGUGUAGUAGUGUAGUGCUGUAGUAGUGUAGUAGAGGUGUAGUAGAGGUGUAGUGGUGUAGUGUAGUGUAGUGUUGUAGUAGUGUAUUAGAGGUGUAGUAGUGUAGUG